rnacentral:rRNA from 1 species
GGUGAGGUAACGGCUUACCAAGGCGACGAUCUGUAGCGGGUCUGAGAGGAUGAUCCGCCACACUGGAACUGAGACACGGUCCAGACUCCUACGGGAGGCAGCAGUGGGGAAUUUUGGACAAUGGGGGCAACCCUGAUCCAGCCAUGCCGCGUGAGUGAAGAAGGCCUUCGGGUUGUAAAGCUCUUUCGGCCGGGAAGAAAUCGCAUGGGCCAAUACCCUGUGUGGAUGACGGUACCGGAAUAAGAAGCACCGGCUAACUACGUGCCAGCAGCCGCGGUAAUACGUAGGGUGCGAGCGUUAAUCGGAAUUACUGGGCGUAAAGCGUGCGCAGGCGGUUUUGUAAGACAGGCGUGAAAUCCCCGGGCUCAACCUGGGAACUGCGUUUGUGACUGCAAGGCUAGAGUACGGCAGAGGGGGGUGGAAUUCCACGUGUAGCAGUGAAAUGCGUAGAGAUGUGGAGGAACACCAAUGGCGAAGGCAGCCCCCUGGGUCGAUACUGACGCUCAUGCACGAAAGCGUGGGUAGCAAACAGGAUUAGAUACCCUGGUAGUCCACGCCCUAAACUAUGUCAACUAGGUGUUGGGUGGGUAAAACCAUUUAGUACCGUAGCUAACGCGUGAAGUUGACCGCCUGGGGAGUACGGCCGCAAGGUUAAAACUCAAAGGAAUUGACGGGGACCCGCACAAGCGGUGGAUGAUGUGGAUUAAUUCGAUGCAACGCGAAAAACCUUACCUACCCUUGACAUGCCAGGAACUUGCCAGAGAUGGCUUGGUGCCCGAAAGGGAGCCUGGACACAGGUGCUGCAUGGCUGUCGUCAGCACGUGUCGUGAGAUGUUGGGUUAAGUCCCGCAACGAGCGCAACCCUUGUCGUUAAUUGCCAUCAUUUAGUUGGGCACUUUAGCGAGACUGCCGGUGACAAACCGGAGGAAGGUGGGGAUGACGUCAAGUCCUCAUGGCCCUUAUGGGUAGGGCUUCACACGUCAUACAAUGGUCGGUACAGAGGGUCGCCAAGCCGCGAGGUGGAGCCAAUCCCAGAAAGCCGAUCGUAGUCCGGAUUGCAGGCUGCAACUCGCCUGCAUGAAGUCGGAAUCGCUAGUAAUCGUGGAUCAGCAUGUCACGGUGAAUACGUUCCCGGGUCUUGUACACACCGCCCGUCACACCAUGGGAGCGGGUUCCGCCAGAAGUAGGUAGCCUAACCGCAAGGAGGGCGCUUACCACGGCGGGGUUCGUGACUGGGGUGAAGUCGUAACAAGGUAGCCGUAGGGGAACCUGCGGCUG